ensembl:lncRNA
GCGGCUGCGCCCCCCCCCCCCCCCCCUUCCUUUUCCUUCCUCAUUGCUUUUGCUGACCCCCCUCUUUCCCCCCCCACCCCCCCCCAUCCCAUGUGUGGGUCAGGAAGGACCGAUGUGUGACGGCGAUGCUUCGGCUCUCACAAAGCAAACCGAGAGGGGGAGAGUGGCGAAAUGGGGGUCUUCGGGGCUCCCCCCCCCCCCCACACACCCCCCCCGCACCCCCACCCCCCCAGGAGGAGGAAGGGCUGCGGUUGUGCCCUCAUUGUCCUUUGCUCCUCACGUGGCUCUGUUUGUCCCACGGGUGGCACAGCCACGCUCUGCUCCGCGGUGACGUGUGCCCAUAUGGGCUGUGGGUGCACCCCUAUGGGCUGUGAGUGUACUCCUAUGGGCUGUGGGUGUACCCCUAUUGGCUGUGAGUGCACUCCUAUGGGCUGUGGGUGCACCCCAAUGGGCUGUGGGUGGACCCCAAUGAGCUGUGGGUGCACCCCUAUGGGCUGUGAGUGCACUCCUAUGGGCUGUGAGUGCACCCCAAUGGGCUGUGGGUGUUCCCCUAUUAGCUGUGAGUGCACCCCAAUGGGCUGUGGGUGGACCCCUAUUGGCUGUGAGUGCACCCCAAUGGGCUGUGGGUGUACCCCUAUUGGCUGUGAGUAUACCCCAAUGGGCUGUGAGUGCACCCCUAUUAGCUGUGGGUGUACCCCAGUGAGCUGUGAGUGCACCCCUAUGGGCUGUGAGUGAACCUCUAUUAGCUAUGGGGUGUACCCCUAUGGGCUGUGGGUGGACCCCUAUGGGCUGUGGGUGCACCCCUAUGGGCUGUGAGUGGACCCCUAUUGGCUGUGAGUGCACCCCAAUGGGCUGUGGGUGGACCCCUAUGGGCUGUGAGUGUACUCCUAUGGGCUGUGAGUGCACCCCAAUGGGCUGUGGGUGGACCCCUAUGGGCUGUGGGUGUUCCCCUAUUAGCUGUGAGUGUACCCCCAUGGGCUGCGGGUGUACCCCAAUGGGCUGCGGGUGUACCCCAAUGGGCUGCGGGUGUACCCCAAUGGGCUGUGAGUGCACCCCAAUGGGCUGUGGGUGUACCUCUAUUAGCUAUGGGGUGUACCCCAAUGGGCUGUGGGUGUACCCCAAUGGGCUGUGAGUGCACCCUAAUGGGCUGUAAGGUGUACCCCAAUGAGCUGCGGGGUGUACCUCUAUUAGUGGGGUGUACCCCAAUGAGCUGCAGGCUGUACCCUGGUUAGUUGUCAGGGUGUACCCCAUUUAGCCGUGGGUUGCACCCCAGUUAGCUCCCCGUUGUACCCCAAUGAGCUGCAGGCUGUACCCGUUAGCUGUAAGGUGUACCCCAAUGAGCUGCGGGGUGUACUUUUAUUAGCUGUGGGGCGUACCCCAAUGAGCUGCGGGGUGUACCCCAAUGAGCCUCAGGGUGUACCCCAAUGAGCCUCAGGGUGUACCCCGGUGAGCUGUAGGAGUGUACCUCGGUUGGCUGUGGGGUACCCCAAUGAGCUGCGGGGCGUACCCCAUUGAACUGCAGGGUGUACCCCAUGAGCUGCGGUGUACCCCAUUGAGCUGCGGGGCGUACCCAAA